rnacentral:rRNA from 1 species
GUGUAUGGCCAUACCACCCUGUACGUACUCGAUCUUGUCUGAUCUCCAAAGCUAAGCAGGACCAGACCUAGUUAGUACUUGGAUGGGAGAUACUAAGAGAUAUUUGACCUAUAUUAU